UACGUAGGGACCGAGCGUUGUCCGGAUUCAUUGGGCGUAAAGAGCUCGUAGGCGGCCACUCAAGUCGAAUGUGAAACCUCGAGGCUUAACCUCGAGCCUGCAUUCGAUACUGGGCGGCUAGAGUCUGGUAGGGGGAUCUGGAAUUCCUGGUGUAGCGGUGGAAUGCGCAGAUAUCAGGAGGAACACCGGUGGCGAAGGCGGGAUCCUGGGCCAGUACUGACGCUGAGGAGCGAAAGCGUGGGGAGCGAACGAGGA
rnacentral:rRNA from 1 species